rnacentral:rRNA from 1 species
GAUGAACGCUGGCGGCGUGCUUAACACAUGCAAGUCGAACGAAGCAUUUAGGACAGAUUACUUCGGUUUGAAGUUCUUUAUGACUGAGUGGCGGACGGGUGAGUAACGCGUGGGUAACCUGCCUUGUACUGGGGGAUAGCAGCUGGAAACGGCUGGUAAUACCGCAUAAGCGCACAAUGUUGCAUGACAUGGUGUGAAAAACUCCGGUGGUAUAGGAUGGACCCGCGUCUGAUUAGCUAGUUGGUGAGAUAACAGCCCACCAAGGCGACGAUCAGUAGCCGACCUGAGAGGGUGACCGGCCACAUUGGGACUGAGACACGGCCCAGACUCCUACGGGAGGCAGCAGUGGGGAAUAUUGCACAAUGGAGGAAACUCUGAUGCAGCGACGCCGCGUGAGUGAAGAAGUAAUUCGUUAUGUAAAGCUCUAUCAGCAGGGAAGAUAGUGACGGUACCUGACUAAGAAGCGCCGGCUAAAUACGUG